rnacentral:rRNA from 1 species
UACAGAGGUGGCAAGCGUUGUUCGGAAUUACUGGGCGUAAAGGGCGCGUAGGCGGCCUUCUAAGUCAGACGUGAAAUCCCCCGGCUUAACCUGGGAACUGCGUCUGAUACUGGGAGGCUUGAGUAUGGGAGAGGGAAGCGGAAUUUCUGGUGUAGCAGUGAAAUGCGUAGAUAUCAGAAGGAACAUCAGUGGCGAAGGCGGCUUCCUGGACCAAUACUGACGAUCAGGUGCGAAAGCGUGGGGAGCAAACAGG